rnacentral:rRNA from 1 species
CUACGGGAGGCAGCAGUGGGGAAUAUUGCACAAUGGGCGCAAGCCUGAUGCAGCCAUGCCGCGUGUGUGAAGAAGGCCUUCGGGUUGUAAAGCACUUUCAGCGGGGAGGAAGGCNGAUAAGGUUAAUAACCUUGUCGAUUGACGUUACCCGCAGAAGAAGCACCGGCUAACUCCGUGCCAGCAGCCGCGUAAUAAGCUUG